UUACAUUUUGGUAUUUUGAUUAGUUUUAUUACAUUAUAUCAAUGGAUGACAUAUUAUACGAGGUUGAAAUCGAUAUUUUCAUACCUUCACGAGUUUUAUAAACUACAGAUUCCAAAUAAAAAUUCAAAAAUUCUAAAGAUGUCAGUCUGGACGAUAAAUCAUCUCCUUCUAUAGACCCGAAGGCUACCAGAUUUUUCCGGUUUCCAUGAAAAAAUAAAUCAAUGGACGAUAAAUCAGGUGAUCAAGAAGGCCUGGCUGCCCCAUCUUCUCCUAUACCAGGUCACUGAAUAAUAUUGGUCUAAAACAUUAAUAUGAUGAAUGUCGUUUGAUGUUUCAAUAGAACGUUGCUUCUUCGCAUUAUAUCUUGAUUGUUCUUCAAUGUUAGAAUCAAAAACACAAACCUAAUUAAAUUAUUGUAUGGCUAUAAUAA